CUGAGACCUGGCGGGGCAUCAUCUACAGGGAACAGAGCAGAGGGGUUCCGACGCUGCACUUAGGACAUGCCCAUUGAUCCCAGAGAGAGAGGAAGGGAGGGAGAGAGAGAGGAAAAAAACAACCCAACAUCAAUGUGAGAAACAUCAAUCUUGCCCCUUGGAAGUGCUCCGACCUGGGAUUGAACCCGCAACCUUUUGGUGCACAGAACGAUGCUCGACCAACUGAGCCACGCAGCUGGUGAUCUCCCUUUUCUGUGACUCAGUUUCCCUUGGACUUGAAAGGCAACACUCUCUCUGAGCCAUGGAUCUCGCUCGCCCCCUACUGGUGACUUCUUCCCAGGAGCCAAUUUUUGUUUCAGAGAACAAAGUUUGCCUGUGCCGUGCUUAGGUUGCCAUGCAUGCUGAGUGGCACCUUCCUGGGGCUGUGAGAUACGCGAAGACGUCGUCGCUCUGAAGGCUAACCGAAUGUGCG